UCACGACUCCAGCACUGCGAGGAGGGGGUCGGGCUCUGGAGCCUCCUGCAGCUGACUGCCCUGCUCUCUGCCCAGCCUGAUGAUGUCACAGAGGGUUUGAGAGGCAUUGGACUGUCUCUGGAAGGAAAAGGAGAUGCAGUACUCUCCUCAGCGCUGAGAAAGGUCAGCAGAGCUGCCCCGCUCGCUGCUCAGUUCUCAGGACGCUGGACUCUGAACCGGUCCGUCUCAGAAAUGCCUGGUGGGCCUUUCUGAUGUCAGAAUGCAAAUCUAAUCAGACCUUUUGCUGUACUGACCGAUCCCCAAGAGACCAAAUGGGGCUCUCUUAAGGGUUAAAUACACUACACAGACAUUGCUCCACCCCUGGAACCACUGUAAGAUACACUGUAUAUAUGACCUCGUUACUGAUACUGUAUUUCAAAUUCAUACUUUAAAUAUUAAAACCUAGCUGGUAACAUUCAGGAGAAGUCCUACAAGCUAAUGGAAAAAGGCAGGUGCCACAGAGAAAACAGGAGGCCUCGACUCUUCUGGGCAACACUAAUCCUUAGCCGGUGAAGACUGGAUGGUGCCCUUGCAACACUGAUCUUAUUUCUUUAAGAGAGAGAGCGAGAGUGAGCACAAGCAUAAGGGAGGAGCAGAGGGAGAGGGAGAAGCAGACUCCCCGCUGACACGGGGCUUGAUCCCAGGACCCCAGGAUCAUGACUUGAGCCAAAGGCAGACAUUUAACCAACUGAGCCACACAGGUGCUCCUGGACCAUCCCUUCUAAGAUGAGUUUGCAGAAAAAGGACUGCCAUGAUGCUUACUCCAAAGGAAGCCAGCAGCAUGUUGUGAGCUGCCCUGCUGGUGACCAUGGAAACGGAUCCUCCCCCCGCUGAGCCUGGGACCACGGUCUUGUGACAGACCAUAGGCAGAGCACCCACUAAGCCACGUCCAGGUCCCUGACUCAUAGAAACAGAAAUAAAAACAUACUUUCUGUUACAA